CCUACGGGGGGCAGCAGUGAGGAAUAUUGGUCAAUGGGCGGGAGCCUGAACCAGCCAAGCCGCGUGAGGGAAGAAGGUACAGCGUAUCGUAAACCUCUUUUGUCAGGGAACAAAGGCGGGGACUAGUCCCCGGAUGAGGGUACCUGAAGAAAAAGCAUCGGCUAACUCCGUGCCAGCAGCCGCGGUAAUACGGAGGAUGCGAGCGUUAUCCGGAUUUAUGGGGUUUAAGGGGUGCGCAGGCGGCCUGUUAAGUCAGGGGUAAAAGCCCGGGGCUAAACCCCGGCGAGCCGUUGAAACUGGGGGGCUGGAGUUGGAGAGAGGUGCGCGGAAGGCGCGGGGGAGCGGUGAAAUGCUUAGAUAUCGCGAAGAACCCCGAUUGCGAAGGCAGCGUACCGGCUCCACACUGACGCUGAGGCACGAAAGCGUGGGUAUCGAACAGGAUUAGAUACCCUUGUAGUC
rnacentral:rRNA from 1 species